rnacentral:lncRNA from 1 species
AGAAACUGAAGUGGCAGAUCAAGCAACACCUGACGACUUGGCUGCAGCAGAAAUUUCUUUAACGGAAUGUUGGGUUUUAGAUCCUCAAGAACUAGUAAGCUUCAUGGAAUUUUAGAAAGUAAACCCAUUGUGAUUUUAAUUAAUUUUGGCAGUACACAGUUUUCUUGACCGUGAAUUAGUAUCUGACAUUAAAGAAAACUGUUCAGCCUGCAAAUUUCAAAAUUUUAGUUGCUAAUGGGGAGAAAAUUCAGUCUUUGGGUUACUUUUGGAAUUUGUCAUUGGAAAUGUGAUGAAACUUUUCAACUUGAUUUUAUCUUGGUCUCACUAAUUGGCUUCCAUGCUGUUUUAGGUGUUAAUUCGCUGUGUACUUCAGGUCCCAUUACUUUGGAUUUUCACAAGAUGACCAUAGACUUCAUGAGGAAUGGGCAUCGCAUAAUUCUUAAUGGUUUACCACUAAUUAAUAAUUAGACGACAGUGUCAAGAUUAUUUUCUUCUACUUCAGACGACCAGAAUAUGGCUUGCAACAGUUAUUGCUGGAAUUUGAG